UGUUUCUAUUGCUUGUUUAGUAUAUACUAAUAGAAUGGUGGUACCCUGCCUGUCUGAUCUCAGAGCAAACCAAUUAGUAUGCACCAUGGUCAUUAGGACUUGACCCAGCCAGGAAUUUAAUCUCUUGUUGGGUAUUAGGAAUCAAUAUGGAAAGAGACCAAGUCAGCUUAUGGAGUAGUAUACGAUUUAUAGGAUGCCGGAUUGGAGACGAGGCUACCGCUGCAGACAGGGCUGUGGGAAGACGGCGGAACUUGCCACAGCGACAGACUUCUCCCAAACAGGAAAUAAAAGUGGGAAGCAUUUUAAAACC
rnacentral:sRNA from 1 species